CCGAAAGGGAGCGUAACACCAGGUGCUGCAUGGCUGUCGUCAGCUCGUGUCGUGAGAUGUUGGGUUAAGUCCCGCAACGAGCGCAACCCUUGCCAUUAAUUGCCAUCAUUUAGUUGGGCACUUUAAUGGGACUGCCGGUGACAAACCGGAGGAAGGUGGGGAUGACGUCAAGUCCUCAUGGCCCUUAUGGCCAGGGCUUCACACGUAAUACAAUGGUCGGUACAGAGGGUAGCCAACCCGCGAGGGGGAGCCAAUCCCAGAAAGCCGAUCGUAGUCCGGAUUGCAGUCUGCAACUCGACUGCAUGAAGUCGGAAUCGCUAGUAAUCGCGGAUCAGCAUGUCGCGGUGAAUACGUUCCCGGGCCUUGUACACACCGCCCGUCACACCAUGGGAGUGGGUUCCACCAGAAGUAGGUUGUCUAACCGCAAGGAGGACGCUUACCACGGUGGGGUUCAUGACUGGGGUGAAGUCGUAACAAGGUAACCGUAA
rnacentral:rRNA from 1 species